rnacentral:rRNA from 1 species
GACGAACGCUGGCGGCACGCUUAACACAUGCAAGUCGAACGAGAGAAGAGAAGCUUGCUUUUCUGAUCUAGUGGCGGACGGGUGAGUAACACGUGAGCAAUCUGCCUUUCAGAGGGGGAUACCGAUUGGAGACGAUCGUUAAUACCGCAUAACAUAAUUGAACCGCAUGAUUUGAUUAUCAAAGAUUUAUCGCUGAAAGAUGAGCUCGCGUCUGAUUAGCUAGUUGGUAAGGUAACGGCUUACCAAGGCGACGAUCAGUAGCCGGACUGAGAGGUUGAUCGGCCACAUUGGGACUGAGACACGGCCCAGACUCCUACGGGAGGCAGCAGUGGGGAAUAUUGCACAAUGGAGGAAACUCUGAUGCAGCGAUGCCGCGUGAGGGAAGAAGGUUUUAGGAUUGUAAACCUCUGUCUUCAGGGACGAAAAAAGACGGUACCUGAGGAGGAAGCUCCGGCUAACUACGUG